CUCUUUCUGUAGUUUUAGUAUAGUAAGGUGAGCGCUGAAGCGCUGCACGAAUCUUUCUUAGAAAGAUUCAGCGACGAAGUUCUGCCCCUGCAGAGCCCGACUCCUAGCUAAAAUCCCCUUGAAAGUUUCGUCAAAGGAAAUUAUUUUAAAGUAAACGAAGCGCUGUCCGAGUACCGAGUCACCACCUUCUCAGGUGUUGAUAUGAAGUCACAAUACACUGAGAGAUUUAAAGAGAUGUAGAUCACUAGUGUAAAUAAUUGUAAGUUCUGUUUAUGCUUAUGUUUCUGUAUUAACGAUGACAUCCCAAACGUUUUAAAAUGAAAUAAAUACGUUUCAUCGAAAAUGUUUUAAUAACGUAUUUACCAUGUUUUUCUGGGAACAAAUUCCGCAACAUUUUUAUAAAAUGAAGUACUCUGAUUUUUAUAAAGCAUAAACAAAAUCGGUCUUUUCUGGCCGUGAAAAUGGGGA